rnacentral:lncRNA from 1 species
AUUGUCUGCGAAUUCCGUUUGUUAUUGGCCUAACGUCGUAGAGAGAGUCUUAACAACCAAAACAAGCUUACGGAGUUUCUUCUCAAUGGCAUUCCUCAGUUACAAUUAUAUGACAUGCAGUGAAAUAUUUCCAUGAAAGUAUUGACUUCAGAUCAACUGUCAAUUCAGUAUUGCCUUUUCCUGGUUGACUUCGAGAUUGAGUUGGUGCAGGAUUCGAUUUAGGGAUUUUCAUUCUAAUAAGUAAGCGGGAUAUGAUCUACCCGUUGCGCAAGGGAGGGAACCAUCAACAUAAUAGGGGUGUAUUGGACAUCAACAUAAUAGGGAUGUAUUGGACAUCAACACCGGAACAAGAGCUCUAUCGUUCCAAAGAAAAGCAAUAGCCCUUUUUCCAUCAAAAAGAGAAUCACUAU